rnacentral:tRNA from 1 species
UGCCGGAAUAGCUCAGUGGUA